AGUUCCAAAUACGUGCAGUUAAGAAGCUCUUGUCCAGGUGCCUCAGUAAAAUGGGCAAAGUUGUUCCCGAGGCCUCUGUAAGGUCCUGAAAACCUGGAAUUUGGCUACAGAAGUCCAGAUUUGAGCUCUUUUAAGGGCCACAUUCUCAACAAAUCAUAUACCAUUAUGCAUUUCCUCAAUACCUCAGCCCAGGUUCUUCAGAUCUUACAUAUGGUUUGAAAAAGGCUUUUUGCUUUCAACUUAGGUUACCUUCUUGCUGAUGACAAAAAAAUAAUUACAAAGCCAGAAAUAACAUUACUUGCACAGGAAGCUGCAAAGGGAAUCCUAAUGUCAGGAGGACUUAUCAGCUUGGUGGUUCAUGUGCGGCAUCCUGGUGGCUGGUGAUAUAUCUGCUCUUGUUAAUUCUUUUCAUUAUUAUUUUUUCUUUGCUCAUUAUGCUAGUUUGCUAUGAGUGAUCUGUGUUUUAUUUGGCUCACCUAUCAUCACCUGGUUGACUGAAGAUUGUAACAUACUAAUGAGGUCGAUCAAAGCCAAAAUUGAAGUUAAUUUUGCCCCCAAUUGGUAGAAUGAACAAUUUAAAGUUGAUUUGUUGAGACAUGACCGGUCAUCUAAGUAACAAUAAAUACUUGUUCUCUAGUUCAAAA